UACGUAGGGGGCAAGCGUUGUCCGGAAUCAUUGGGCGUAAAGCGCGUGUAGGCGGCUCGAUAAGUCUGCUGUGAAAGUCCAGGGCUCAACCCUGGGAUGCCGGUGGAUACUGUCGAGCUCGAGUCCGGAAGAGGCGAGUGGAAUUCCUGGUGUAGCGGUGGAAUGCGCAGAUAUCAGGAGGAACACCAAUAGCGAAGGCAGCUCGCUGGGACGUUACUGACACUAAGGCGCGAAAGCGUGGGGAGCGAACAGG
rnacentral:rRNA from 1 species